rnacentral:rRNA from 1 species
UGCCGAAGCAACUAGCCCUUAAAAUGGGAGGCGCUUUAGCAUUGUGCUGAUACCGGACCGCCGGUCGCAGAGCUCGUCGAUCCUUGGUGAUCGUCGCUGACGCGCCGGUGAGUAGGGAGGUCGCACUGGUUGCGUUGAAGGGUUUGGGCGUGAGCCUGCCUGGAGCGGCCAGUGGCGCAGAUCUUGGUGGUAGUAGCAAAUACUCGAGAGAGAUCCUUGAGGCCUGACGUGGGGAAGGGUUCCAUGUGAACAGUGGUUGGACAUGGGUCAGUCGGUCCUAAGCCCAACCUGAAAUGGUAGCACAAGACGAGCGUUGAACGAAAGAGACACANUGUGUUGAUCGCAAANCGUGAGGCUCGUGGCAAGGGCGAAAGGGAAUCCCGUUUUUAUUCGGGAACCUGGUUGGGGUAACGUUCGGAUCCUCGUAUCCGUCUCGGCAACGANAAUUGGCCAUGGGAAGCUGGCGGGA